rnacentral:lncRNA from 1 species
CGGUAUAGGCUUCAAACACGAGCCAAAAGAAAAAGUUGAGUCCAUUCCUAAACCACCUAAGACUCAACUUAGGCCAAACAAAAUAAAUGUCAUCACUUAACCUAGAAAUUUUAAUCCUAGAAUUGCUUCUCAUUCUAGAACAAAUGCUAGGAGAAAUAUUGGAAUGUAUAGACCACCUAGACAAGAUUUUCGAAAAGCACAUCAAAACUAUAUUUCUAAAAAUGUA